UUUUGCUCUGGCAGCAAAGUAAGGACUCCUCCUCCCUCCCCACUUCUGUGCCGUCUCCAGACGCCUCGUCCUAGCCACCCACACGGGACACAGUUAUGAGGCACAGUAGAGAUACUUGAGUACUGAGGCAGGGGACAGCUCUCAGGCAGUGCUGACCCGUAAGGGCAACACUCACAAGCAUGGAGACUUCAACUCGGACACGUGCUCGCACACGCACGCACGCACACAUACACACGGUUAUAUUUGGUUUGUGAUCUAACAAACAAGCUUGCCUGAAGAUCGGAGUGCAGAGCUAAGCUACCAGUUAGCCAGAGAGGCCAAGCAGUGGUGGCGCACACCUUUAAUCCCAGCCCUCGGGAGGCAGAGGCAGACGGGUCUCGAUUUUUCCUGGAGAAUAACAAUCCAAAGAGGCUCCCUCCACCAUAGGUGACCAGCAGCUCCAAGGUAGCAGUUAACAGAUCCAGCCCUCCAUCGGGAAACAGCAGGGGGCCACCAGAGUCCCUUAGAAGGAUUUAGUGAUCCAGCCAGUGGGAACUUGUCCAGCAUGGCAGACAAACAGUGAAGAACGAGAGAGAAGGAAUCUUUCUUCCCCUGUUACUCGUCAUCGAGUGGGCAAACAAGUGUUUCCUGAGAGCACAAUCCCGGACCACCACAGCAUCUGAAAACCCAACGGCUGUGACUUCAAGCAUUUUGUGUGGAGCAAAGUGAGAGAAGCUACGUAUUUCAGGAGGAAACCAAUGAAGCUGGCCUGCCACAAAGAACAACUGCCAUUGUCUCGUGUAUUCCAGCACCAAUCAACCUAAUCCCCAUUCCAUGAGGAUGACCAAAGGCCCAACAUUCCCAUUCACACCACAGACAGUUGUCUCUAAGGGCAACAGCAUCAAAGGACAUUCCAACUGUUCAUGGCCGGGGCUCUGGUCUUGGGUCAAACUUGGAAGGGAAGAUAUUUGGAUAAAUAUUCAUACUGCAGUUUCUGGGCAUUUCUCUUCAUCUUAUGACAGGCACCAAGAAGCUUCUAAUAAAAACCCUGAUCUCCUCAGCUGGCCCCUCUGGUUACCUAAACAGAGUUGAAA